rnacentral:rRNA from 1 species
GAUGAACGCUGGCGGCGUGCCUAACACAUGCAAGUCGAACGAGCAAAUACAUUUGAUUUCUUCGGAAUGAAGAUGUAGGCGCGAGUGGCGGACGGGUGAGUAACGCGUGAGUAAUCUGCCUCAUACAGGAGAAUAACACUAAGAAAUUGGUGCUAAUACUCCAUAAGCUCACAUUAUGACAUCAUAGAGUGAGAAAAGAUUUAUCGGUAUGAGAGGAGCUCGCGUCUGAUUAGCUAGUUGGUGGGGUAACGGCCUACCAAGGCAACGAUCAGUAGCCGACCUGAGAGGGUGAUCGGCCACAUUGGAACUGAGACACGGUCCAAACUCCUACGGGAGGCAGCAGUGGGGAAUAUUGCACAAUGGGGGAAACCCUGAUGCAGCAACGCCGCGUGAAGGAAGAAGUAUUUCGGUAUGUAAACUUCUAUCGACAGGGAAGAAACAAAUGACGGUACCUGAAUAAGAAGCACCGGCUAAAUACGUGCCAGCAGCCGCGGUAAUACGUAUGGUGCAAGCGUUAUCCGGAUUUACUGGGUGUAAAGGGUGAGUAGGCGGUCAUGCAAGUCAUAUGUGAAAUGUCAGGGCUUAACCUUGGCGCUGCAUAAGAAACUGUAUGACUAGAGUGCAGGAGAGGUAAGCGGAAUUCCUAGUGUAGCGGUGAAAUGCGUAGAUAUUAGGAAGAACACCGGUGGCGAAGGCGGCUUACUGGACUGUUACUGACGCUGAGUCACGAAAGCGUGGGGAGCAAACAGGAUUAGAUACCCUGGUAGUCCACGCCGUAAACG